rnacentral:rRNA from 1 species
AACGAACGCUGGCGGCAUGCCUAACACAUGCAAGUCGAACGAGACCUUCGGGUCUAGUGGCGCACGGGUGCGUAACGCGUGGGAACCUGCCCUUAGGUUCGGAAUAACUCCCCGAAAGGGGUGCUAAUACCGGAUAAUGUCUUCGGACCAAAGAUUUAUCGCCUUUGGAUGGGCCCGCGUUGGAUUAGCUAGUUGGUAGGGUAAAAGCCUACCAAGGCGACGAUCCAUAGCUGGUCUGAGAGGAUGAUCAGCCACACUGGGACUGAGACCCGGCCCAGACUCCUACGGGAAGCAGCAGUGGGGAAUAUUGGACAAUGGGCGAAAGCCUGAUCCAGCAAUGCCGCGUGAGUGAUGAAGGCCUGAGGGUUGUAAAGCUCGUUUACCCGGGAUGAUAAUGACAGUACCGGGAGAAUAAGCUCCGGCUAACUCCGUG